UACGAAGGGGGCUAGCGUUGCUCGGAAUCACUGGGCGUAAAGGGCGCGUAGGCGGCCGAUUAAGUCGGGGGUGAAAGCCUGUGGCUCAACCACAGAAUUGCCUCGAUACUGGUUGGCUUGAGACCGGAAGAGGACAGCGGAACUGCGAGUGUAGAGGUGAAAUUCGUAGAUAUUCGCAAGAACACCAGUGGCGAAGGCGGCUCACUGGCCCGAUACUGACGCUGAGGCACGAAAGCGUGGGGAGCAAACAGG
rnacentral:rRNA from 1 species